rnacentral:rRNA from 1 species
UACGUAGGGGGCUAGCGUUGUCCGGAAUCAUUGGGCGUAAAGCGCGUGUAGGCGGCCCGGUAAGUCCGCUGUGAAAGUCGGGGGGCUCAACCCUCGGAUGCCGGUGGAGUACUGUCGGGCUCGAGUACGGAGAGGCGAGUGGAAUUCCUGGUGUAGCGGUGAAAUGCGCAGAUAUCAAGGAGGAACACCAAUUGCGAAGGCAGCUCGCUGGGACGUAACUGACGCUGAGACGCGAAAGCGUGGGGAGCGAACAGG